rnacentral:rRNA from 1 species
UACGGGGGAGCAAGCGUUGUUCGGAUUUACUGGCGUAAAGGGCGCGUAGGCGGCCAGCACAAGUCAGUUGUGAAAUCUCCGAGCUUAACUCGGAAAGGUCAACUGAUACUGUGCGGCUAGAGUGCGGAAGGGGCAACUGGAAUUCUUGGUGUAGCGGUGAAAUGCGUAGAUAUCAAGAGGAACACCUGCGGCGAAGGCGGGUUGCUGGGCCGACACUGACGCUGAUGCGCGAAAGCUAGGGGAGCGAACGGG